GACGAACGCUGGCGGCGUGCUUAACACAUGCAAGUCGAGCGGAAAGGCCCUGCUUUUGUGGGGUGCUCGAGUGGCGAACGGGUGAGUAACACGUGAGUAACCUGCCCUUGACUUUGGGAUAACUUCAGGAAACUGGGGCUAAUACAGGAUAGGAGCUCCUGCUGCAUGGUGGGGGUUGGAAAGUUUCGGCGGUUGGGGAUGGACUCGCGGCUUAUCAGCUUGUUGGUGGGGUAGUGGCUUACCAAGGCUUUGACGGGUAGCCGGCCUGAGAGGGUGACCGGCCACAUUGGGACUGAGAUACGGCCCAGACUCCUACGGGAGGCAGCAGUGGGGAAUAUUGCACAAUGGGCGGAAGCCUGAUGCAGCAACGCCGCGUGCGGGAUGACGGCCUUCGGGUUGUAAACCGCUUUCGCCUGUGACGAAGCGUGAGUGACGGUAAUGGGUAAAGAAGCACCGGCUAACUACGUG
rnacentral:rRNA from 1 species